rnacentral:rRNA from 1 species
GACGAACGCUGGCGGCGUGCCUAAUACAUGCAAGUUGAGCGCUGAAGGUUGGUACUUGUACCAACUGGAUGAGCAGCGAACGGGUGAGUAACGCGUGGGGAAUCUGCCUUUGAGCGGGGGACAACAUUUGGAAACGAAUGCUAAUACCGCAUAAAAACUUUAAACACAAGUUUUAAGUUUGAAAGAUGCAAUUGCAUCACUCAAAGAUGAUCCCGCGUUGUAUUAGCUAGUUGGUGAGGUAAAGGCUCACCAAGGCGAUGAUACAUAGCCGACCUGAGAGGGUGAUCGGCCACCAUUUGGGGACUGAGAACACGGGCCCCAAAACUCCUUACGGGGAGGGCAGCCAGUAGGGAAUUCUUUCGGGCAAAUGGGACGAAAAGUUCUGGACCCGAGCAAACCGCCGCCGUG